rnacentral:rRNA from 1 species
CAGCCGCCGCGGGAAUACGUAGGUGGCAAGCGUUGUCCGGAAUUAUUAGGCGUAAAGGGCUCGCAGGCGGUUUCUUAAGUCUGAUGUGAAAGCCCCCGGCUCAACCGGGGAGGGUCAUUGGAAACUGGGAAACUUGAGUGCAGAAGAGGAGAGUGGAAUUCCACGUGUAGCGGUGAAAUGCGUAGAGAUGUGGAGGAACACCAGUGGCGAAGGCGACUCUCUGGUCUGUAACUGACGCUGAGGAGCGAAAGCGUGGGGAGCGAACAGGAUUAGAUACCCCAGUAGUCCCUGUCUCUUAUAC